rnacentral:rRNA from 1 species
GUAGGUGGCAAGCGUUGUCCGGAAUUAUUGGGCGUAAAGCGCGCGCAGGUGGUUCUUUAAGUCUGAUGUGAAAGCUCCCGGCUCAACCGGGGAGGGUCAUUGGAAACUGGGGAACUUGAGUGCAGGAGAGGAAAGUGGAAUUCCACGUGUAGCGGUGAAAUGCGUAGAUAUGUGGAGGAACACCAGUGGCGAAGGCGACUUUCUGGCCUGUAACUGACACUGAGGCGCGAAAGCGUGGGGAGCAAACAGGGAUUAGAUACCCUGGUAGUCCACGCCGUAAACGAUGAGUGCUAAGUGUUGGGGGGGGUUUCCGCCCCCUCAGUGCUGCAGCUAACGCAUUAAGCACUCCGCCUGGGAGUACGGUCGCAAGACUG